rnacentral:rRNA from 1 species
GAUGAACGCUGGCGGCGUGCCUAAUACAUGCAAGUCGAGCGAACGGACGAGAAGCUUGCUUCUCUGAUGUUAGCGGCGGACGGGUGAGUAACACGUGGAUAACCUACCUAUAAGACUGGGAUAACUUCGGGAAACCGGAGCUAAUACCGGAUAAUAUUUUGAACCGCAUGGUUCAAAAGUGAAAGACGGUCUUGCUGUCACUUAUAGAUGGAUCCGCGCUGCAUUAGCUAGUUGGUAAGGUAACGGCUUACCAAGGCAACGAUGCAUAGCCGACCUGAGAGGGUGAUCGGCCACACUGGAGCUGAGACACGGUCCAGACUCCUACGGGAGGCAGCAGUAGGGAAUCUUCCGCAAUGGGCGAAAGCCUGACGGAGCAACGCCGCGUGAGUGAUGAAGGUCUUCGGAUCGUAAAACUCUGUUAUUAGGGAAGAACAUAUGUGUAAGUAACUGUGCACAUCUUGACGGUACCUAAUCAGAAAGCCACGGCUAACUACGUGCCAGCAGCCGCGGUAAUACGUAGGUGGCAAACGUUAUCCGGAAUUAUUGGGCGUAAAGCGCGCGUAGGCGGUUUUUUAAGUCUGAUGUGAAAGCCCACGGCUCAACCGUGGAGGGUCAUUGGAAACUGGAAAACUUGAGUGCAGAAGAGGAAAGUGGAAUUCCAUGUGUAGCGGUGAAAUGCGCAGAGAUAUGGAGGAACACCAGUGGCGAAGGCGACUUUCUGGUCUGUAACUGACGCUGAUGUGCGAAAGCGUGGGGAUCAAACAGGAUUAGAUACCCUGGUAGUCCACGCCGUAAACGAUGAGUGCUAAGUGUUAGGGGGUUUCCGCCCCUUAGUGCUGCAGCUAACGCAUUAAGCACUCCGCCUGGGGAGUACGACCGCAAGGUUGAAACUCAAAGGAAUUGACGGGGACCCGCACAAGCGGUGGAGCAUGUGGUUUAAUUCGAAGCAACGCGAAGAACCUUACCAAAUCUUGACAUCCUUUGACAACUCUAGAGAUAGAGCUUUCCCCUUCGGGGGACAAAGUGACAGGUGGUGCAUGGUUGUCGUCAGCUCGUGUCGUGAGAUGUUGGGUUAAGUCCCGCAACGAGCGCAACCCUUAAGCUUAGUUGCCAUCAUUAAGUUGGGCACUCUAAGUUGACUGCCGGUGACAAACCGGAGGAAGGUGGGGAUGACGUCAAAUCAUCAUGCCCCUUAUGAUUUGGGCUACACACGUGCUACAAUGGACAAUACAAAGGGCAGCGAAACCGCGAGGUCAAGCAAAUCCCAUAAAGUUGUUCUCAGUUCGGAUUGUAGUCUGCAACUCGACUACAUGAAGCUGGAAUCGCUAGUAAUCGUAGAUCAGCAUGCUACGGUGAAUACGUUCCCGGGUCU